rnacentral:rRNA from 1 species
ACGAAGGGGGCUAGCGUUGCUCGGAAUUACUGGGCGUAAAGGGCGCGUAGGCGGAUGUUUAAGUUGGGGGUGAAAGCCCGGGGCUCAACCUCGGAAUUGCCUUCAAUACUGGACAUCUUGAGUACGGGAGAGGUGAGUGGAACUCCGAGUGUAGAGGUGAAAUUCGUAGAUAUUCGGAAGAACACCAGUGGCGAAGGCGACUCACUGGCCCGUUACUGACGCUGAGGCGCGAAAGCGUGGGGAGCAAACAGGA